rnacentral:lncRNA from 1 species
CUUUUUUGUUGCUCUUAUUGCAGAGCCUCGCGGACUCGGAACAAUAAAGCCGGUAAAAGUCACAUGGCAAGAGGAUUCACGUUUCCAAGACGGCAGUUCUGAGGGUGAUGAUGAGCCUGAGACGCGAGAAACUGAAAAGGACCAAGAAAUGCAAGUUCCGUUUCUAUUUGCUCUCUACCUGGCUGUAGUAGUUGGAUGCUGUGGGAAUAUUAAUAGCAGCACUCAGGGAAUGGGAAACUGAGAUUGCACACCUCUGAGCAAUGAAAGUCAUCUUGGAAAACCAUUUGUGCUGCCCAGAGUAAAAACUCCCAGCAGCCCAUGUGAUGUGAAGUUGAAUAUGAAAAGAGAGAUGUUGAGCACAAGAAAUUAACUGGCUCAUUUUGGUUUGACCAACUCCAAACUGAGUUUGGCCAGAAGCCAAAGACACAGUCAGUUUUCUGUUAAGAAGUUGUUUAUUUUUUUUCUAGAAGGCUCUAUUUGGCUACUAGGGAAUAAAGCUUUUCAAUGUAUACCAUUUCUCUGAAGCACUACAGUUUUAACUUGCUUUCAUGGCAUUUGAUAGCACAAUUUUGGGUGCUAAAAUCCCUUUGUACUUGUCUAGGUUUGUUUCUUUACCACGCACAGAAAGUGCUAGAGUUUUCUUCUUCUCCAAAGAUGAUGAACGCCUAAGAGAGGGCCCAAAGUUAUGUUGUAGAUCAGUAGAGUUCAGUGAAGAAAAAGGGUUGGGAAGACUGAUGUAGUUUAUUGCUUGAGGUGAGUAUGUAACAUCUGUUCCCCGGGAACUGUAGGAGAAAGCUGAGCACGGGGAGGAAAUGCAGGUAUGAAUGGGCAUGCAGAAUUAAUUCAGGACCUCAAGAAGAGCCUGCAACUUUGCAACUCCCCAGGAACAAAAGUGUUUUAAUCUACCGGUGUGUAUAACAUCAUGUUGUGUUGUCCAGUCAGGUAAACCACUACAUCUUUGUAUGUUACAGGAGCAGCUACUUAACUGUAUGUAAAGGAUGUAUUUAAGAGAAAGAGUGAAUUUAGAGACUUCUCCUAACAGUGGAUUCAGAAACUUCUCUGAAGAAUUCGUUAGAUUUUCAUUAUUUCCCAGAAUGCUGAAGGAAGCAUAGGGAUACCAAACAGAAAUGCAAGGAAAC